CAACGAUGACAGAUCAACCUGGUGUCACACUGAAGCUAAGCAGGGUUGAGCAUGGCCAGUACCUGGAUGGGAGACCUCCUGAGGAAAACUAACUUUGCUGCUGGUUGU
rnacentral:rRNA from 1 species